CUAAAGUAUCAGGGGUGGCAGAGUGGAGGAGGAGGCAUCUGAGCUAGCUCUAGACUCUGAAACAUGACCGCUCUGGAGUAGUUCCUCCAUCCACAAAUUAUGCAGUCGAGUUUCCUCGAAUUUGGGGUCAAUACACACAGAGUGCAAUGGAUGAACCUCGCUCUGGAGAAAUCACCUGCAUAAUCAUGGUAUUUCCCCUUCCAGGAUUCUGUGCAAUGACAAGACCAAGACUGAGCCACAUGUGGUGUUGGAUGCUCCCAUGUAAGGGCAUGGCGGGGGCCAGAAGCUGAUUCCACAACAGGCCAGACAAAUCCAAAAUG
ensembl:lincRNA